AACGAACGCUGGCGGCAGGCUUAACACAUGCAAGUCGAACGCACCGCAAGGUGAGUGGCAGACGGGUGAGUAACGCGUGGGAACCUUCCCUUUGGUACGGAAUAACUUCGGGAAACCGAAGCUAAUACCGUAUAUCUCCUGCGGGAGAAAGAUUUAUCGCCAAAGGAUGGGCCCGCGUUGGAUUAGCUAGUUGGUGUGGUAAUGGCGCACCAAGGCGACGAUCCAUAGCUGGUCUGAGAGGAUGAUCAGCCACACUGGGACUGAGACACGGCCCAGACUCCUACGGGAGGCAGCAGUGGGGAAUAUUGGACAAUGGGGGCAACCCUGAUCCAGCCAUGCCGCGUGAGUGAAGAAGGCCUUAGGGUUGUAAAGCUCUUUUGGCGGGGACGAUAAUGACGGUACCCGCAGAAUAAGCCCCGGCUAACUUCGUGCCAGCCGCCGCCGUAA
rnacentral:rRNA from 1 species